GGAGCAAGCUGGAAUUAAAUAAGUACCAUAACUCUCAUCCCAUAUCUCCUGCACUAGAAGAGGAAAACACUCCAGUGUCAUCACCCCAAGCUGCUGCUCUCCAUAAGAUUCAAAUUCUGUGAGCAGCACCAAGGAGAUCCUGUUUACUUGUGCUUUUAUACAUUGGUUUCAUUUCUGGAGAGUUGGACCCAUGUUUCUGACAGCAAACAGGUACAAAAAAGAUGCUAAAAUGUGGGAGGUAAAAGCUCACUGGCUUUACAAGUUUCAA